GAGUGGAGAUCAUGGAAUGGAGAUUGGAAGGGUGGAGAUAUCCAAACCCUAUGCUAAAGCAGGUUCACCGAGAGGAGGUUGCACACAACUAUGCCCAGCAGGGAUAAUCUCACUCUGUCAAAGUCAGUCAUCAUUUCACCUGGAAACAAAUUAAUCCAUUAAUCAGAAGAAACCUGUUCAAGGUAUGAUGCAGGACAGGAGAACUGAUGAGGCAUGCUCAUAUUCUGAGCAAAGACUCUGCUACACAGCACAAUUAUAAAGGGUGAAGAUUAGGAUAGUACGCUCAUGGUGAUAGAUGUAGUUUUUAGCUUCAAGAGCAAGCCUCUGUCUUGUGGACUGUAGCACUCCUUCCCACUUCCUCUGAGAAUGGAAAAGCAAUUUUUAAAAAUUCCUAAUCUGUAUUUUGUUUUUAUUCAUUCAUCUGCAACUAUUUA